AACGCUAGCUACAGGCUUAACACAUGCAAGUCGAGGGGAAACGACAUCGAAAGCUUGCUUUUGAUGGGCGUCGACCGACGCACGGGUGAGUAACGCGUAUCCAACCUGCCCACCACUUGGGGAUAACCUUGCGAAAGUAAGACUAGUACCCGAUGAUAUCCCUAGACGACAUCUGAAAGGGAUUAAAGAUUUAUCGGUGAUGGAUGGGGAUGCGUCUGAUUAGCUUGUUGGCGGGGUAACGGCCCACCAAGGCAACGAUCAGUAGGGGUUCUGAGAGGAAGGUCCCCCACAUUGGAACUGAGACACGGUCCAAACUCCUACGGGAGGCAGCAGUGAGGAAUAUUGGUCAAUGGGCGAGAGCCUGAACCAGCCAAGUAGCGUGCAGGACGACGGCCCUAUGGGUUGUAAACUGCUUUUAUAAGGGAAUAAAGUGAGUCUCGUGAGACUUUUUGCAUGUACCUUAUGAAUAAGGACCGGCUAAUUCCGUGCCAGCAGCCGCGGUAAUACGGAAGGUCCGGGCGUUAUCCGGAUUUAUUGGGUUUAAAGGGAGCGUAGGCCGGAGAUUAAGCGUGUUGUGAAAUGUAGACGCUCAACGUCUGCACUGCAGCGCGAACUGGUUUCCUUGAGUACGCACAAAGUGGGCGGAAUUCGUGGUGUAGCGGUGAAAUGCUUAGAUAUCACGAAGAACUCCGAUUG
rnacentral:rRNA from 1 species